GCUUUGUGUUGUAGAGUUGCUCAGAAGAGGAAUGCAGGUUAUCCUGGCUCAAGUAUGAUCUGUCUAUCCAAGAUGGCUGCUGCUCACGGCACAGGGUUUCCUCCGCUGUGUACAAUGGGCUUCUGGGACAAAGAGCAUCAUAUGCGGCGAUUGCGAUGUCCUAUGAUACCAUUUAUACUCCAUAUGCCGUGUCAUCUUGCCUUCUUAUCACAACCACAUCCUCAGCACCAGCAGGCUGAACAGUGCACAUAUGUAGUGCAGUGUGCGCGGAUGCCAGGAGGGGGCGCUGUUACAUAGGUCUGAGUCACAGCAGUGGAUACGCACCCCUGGCAGUUCCUGUUGCUGGCAGUGUCUGGAUGUGGCACAACCGCUGGUCAGGACGAUACCCAGGGCCGCUGGAUGGACAGAAGAGGAGACAAUCAGUCAGAGGGAGAGUGACAAGUUGGUGUUUGGCUCAGCAAGAAAAAAAAAGCACAUGUAAGCAGCAGAUAGUGCAAGUGUGUAAUGAGGAAGACAUUUAGAGAUCUUAAAGGCACACACCACAGGGUAUGAACCAGGC